rnacentral:lncRNA from 1 species
UUGAUAACUGAAGUGAUUACAGUGCCAGGUGGGUGAGCAACCAGCUGUGAACUGCGAGGAGAAAAGGUCACCACAGGUGCAGUAGCACUGAAGGAUGGAGAGGAAGCCACACUGACGGUUCCAUUGCAAAUGGUCUGAACAUUGCUAGUAAGGACCUGCUGAACCUGGGCAGGGCCCAAGACAAUUGAAGGAGGAGAGCCCGCCUUUUGUGACUGCAGCAUGACAUUUUCUUUCAGUACUGUCAUGGGCUGUGAUGAUGGAAUGGCUUGUAAAAUAAACUUCUGAGAUCCAGUACCUGCUGAUGGAUCUGUGCUGGCUAUAACUGUUGUGAGUGGCACUGUUUGGAGUGUUACUGUAUGCAACUGCUGAUUCCUAGGAGACACAACCACUGGAACUUGGGUUGGAGCCUGUAUAGUCCUAUUGAG